GCCACUACCACGCAUUGGAUCUCCGUCAGCAAAAGUACGACGGCGAAUCACCCUACGCCGACGAUGUCCUCCCGACUUUCCACGGAUACGGCAAGUCGGGGAACGUCAGCGGACGUGUCACCUACGUCAACUACGGGCGUGUGGAGGACUACAAAAGGUUGAAGGAGAUGGGAGUCAACGUUUCCGGGACCAUCGUGUUGGCAAAGUAUGGACAGAUUUACAGAGGUGAUAUUGUGGACAAUGCUUACGUGGAGGGCGCUGUAGGGACGAUCAUAUACUCUGAUAGGAUAGACUUCGGUGGUGGCGGUGGUGGUGAUUGGUUCCCGGAUUCUAAGUGGCUGCCGCCGAGUGGGGUGCAGGUUGGUUCCGUGUAUAGUGAUGCUGGUGAUCCUACCAC
rnacentral:lncRNA from 1 species